UACAGAGGUGGCAAGCGUUGUUCGGAAUUACUGGGCGUAAAGGGCGCGUAGGCGGCCAUCUAAGUCAGACGUGAAAUCCCCCGGCUUAACCUGGGAACUGCGUCUGAUACUGGACGGCUUGAGUAUGGGAGAGGGAUGUAGAAUUCCAGGUGUAGCGGUGAAAUGCGUAGAUAUCUGGAGGAAUACCGGUGGCGAAGGCGGCAUCCUGGACCAUUACUGACGCUGAUGCGCGAAAGCUAGGGAGCAACGGG
rnacentral:rRNA from 1 species